GACGAACGCUGGCGGCGUGCUUAACACAUGCAAGUCGAACGAAGAGCGAUGGAAUCUUGCUUCUAUCAAUCUUAGUGGCGAACGGGUGAGUAACGCGUAAUCAACCUGCCCUUCAGAGGGGGACAACAGUUGGAAACGACUGCUAAUACCGCAUACGAUCCGACCUCGGCAUCGUGGAUGGAUGAAAGUUGGCCUCGAUUUAUAAUCUAUCACUGUAGGAGGGGAUUGCGUCUGAUUAGCUAGUUGGAGGGGUAACGGCCCACCAAGGCAAUGAUCAGUAGACGGUCUGGGAGGAUGAACGGCCACAUUGGGACUGAGACACGGCCCAGACUCCUACGGGAGGCAGCAGUGGGGAAUCUUCCGAAAUGGACGAAAGUCUGACGGAGCAACGCCGCGUGAGUGAUGACGGCCUUCGGGUUGGAAAGCUCUGUUAAUCGGGACGAAAGGUCUUCUUGCGAAUAGUUAGAAGAAUUGACGGUACCGGAAGAGAAAGCCACGACUAACUACGUG
rnacentral:rRNA from 1 species